rnacentral:rRNA from 1 species
CCUACGGGAGGCAGCAGUGAGGAAUAUUGGUCAAUGGGAGAGAUCCUGAACCAGCCAAGCCGCGUGAGGGAAGACGGCCCUAUGGGUUGUAAAACUCUUUUAUCGGAGAACAAAACCCGGGACGUGUCCCGGACUGCGUGUAUCCGAAGAAAAAGCAUCGGCUAACUCCGUGCCAGCAGCAGCGGUAAUACGGAGGAUGCGAGCGGUAUCCGGAUUUAUUGGGUUUAAAGGGUGCGUAGGCGGUCCGUUAAGUCAGCGGUAAAAGUGCGGGGCUCAACCCCGGCGAGCCGUUGAAACUGGCAGACUUGAGUGGGCGAGAAGCAGGCGGAAUGCGCGGUGUAGCGGUGAAAUGCAUAGAUAUCGCGCAGAACUCCGAUGGCGAAGGCAGCGUACCGGCGCCAGACUGACGCUGAGGCACGAAAGCGUGGGGAUCGAACAGGAUUAGAUACCCGUGUAGUC